rnacentral:rRNA from 1 species
CACAUGCAAGUCGAACGAUAACGGAUUCCAGUUUACUAAAAUUAGUCAGCUAAGUGGCGCACGGGUGAGUAAUAUAUAGUUAAACCUGCCCCAAGAAAGAGAAUAAUUGAUGGAAACGUCUUGUAACUCUCUAUAUGCCUUUAUCACAUAAGUGAGACAAGGGGAACAUUUAUGGCUUUGGGAUGGGACUGUACGGUAUCAGAUAGUUGGUGAGGUAAUGGCUCACCAAGUCAAUGACGCCUAACUGGUUUGAGAGGAUGAUCAGUCACACUGGAACUGAGACACGGUCCAGACUCCUACGGGAGGCAGCAGUGGGGAAUAUUGCACAAUGGAGGAAAACUCUGAUGCAGCAACGCCGCGUGGAGGAUGACACAUUUCGGUGCGUAAACUCCUUUUAAUAUGAAAAGAUAAUGACGGUAUCCUAUGAAUAAGCACCGGCUAACUCCGUGCCAGCAGCCGCGGUAAUACGGGGGGGUGCAAGCGUUACUCGGAAUCACUGGGGCGUAAAGAGCAUGUA